rnacentral:tRNA from 1 species
UCCUUGAUAGCUCAGUUGGUAAAGAAUCUGCCUGCAAAGCAGGAGACCUGGGUUCAAUCCCUGGGUUGGGAA